CUGUAACAUGUAUCAACCCUUCCUCCCCUCUGCUGAUAAAUACAAAAUAUCCACAGACAGACCCUCACACCUGGCAGCCAAGCCCAGAACUUCCUGCUGAGGCAGAGGAUGCAGAAACGUUGUCUUGUUGGAGAGUUGGACCUGCUGUGCUGUACUCAGCCUGGGAUUAACUGAGCUUGACCAGGGAGCCGGAGGAGGAGUCUCUCUGAUGAUGGAGGGAUCUGUCACACCGUGACUCAGUG